rnacentral:rRNA from 1 species
CUAGCUGGUCUGAGAGGAUGACCAGCCACACUGGAACUGAGACACGGUCCAGACUCCUACGGGAGGCAGCAGUGGGGAAUAUUGCACAAUGGGCGCAAGCCUGAUGCAGCCAUGCCGCGUGUAUGAAGAAGGCCUUCGGGUUGUAAAGUACUUUCAGCGGGGAGGAAGGGAGUAAAGUUAAUACCUUUGCUCAUUGACGUUACCCGCAGAAGAAGCACCGGCUAACUCCGUGCCAGCAGCCGCGGUAAUACGGAGGGUGCAAGCGUUAAUCGGAAUUACUGGGCGUAAAGCGCACGCAGGCGGUUUGUUAAGUCAGAUGUGAAAUCCCCGGGCUCAACCUG